GAUGAACGCUGGCGGCGUGCUUAACACAUGCAAGUCGAACGGAAAGGCUCCAGCUUGCUGGGGUGCUCGAGUGGCGAACGGGUGAGUAACACGUGGGUGAUCUGCCCUGCACUUCGGGAUAAGCCUGGGAAACUGGGUCUAAUACCGGAUAGGAGCCAUUUUUAGUGUGAUGGUUGGAAAGUUUUUUCGGUGUAGGAUGAGCUCGCGGCCUAUCAGCUUGUUGGUGGGGUAAUGGCCUACCAAGGCGGCGACGGGUAGCCGGCCUGAGAGGGUGGACGGCCACAUUGGGACUGAGAUACGGCCCAGACUCCUACGGGAGGCAGCAGAGGGGAAUAUUGCACAAUGGGCGCAAGCCUGAUGCAGCGACGCCGCGUGGGGGAUGACGGCCUUCGGGUUGUAAACUCCUUUCGCUAGGGACGAAGCUUUUUGUGACGGUACCUAGAUAAGAAGCACCGGCUAACUACGUGCCAGCCGCCGCGGUAA
rnacentral:rRNA from 1 species